ACACACACACACACACACGCAUGCUCACAUGCACAGAGUCAGAGGAUGUUUACAAUGAUGUCACGUUUCUCCAGGUUCCAAAGACAAACCUUGUCUCUGCGUCAUCUAUGCCCCCUGAGUCACAAGAGAAUGUUGUAGAUCCUGCACCUCAACUAAAGGGAACUAAGGAUGAAGAACUUACAAAACUACCCCCAGUACCAUCCUCAGUCAUAACACCACCAGCAAUCAUCUCCAAAGAAGCAGUAAGUAGUCCACAGAGACAACUCUCUCCCCCCUUCCCAGUUAUCUAUAAGGGCACCACAAAACACCACAGUUCUUCCUGUCAGCCAAACAGGAAGCAGUAGGCUGGACUCUAGUCAUCUCAUAAUUGCUCUCUUUUUACCUGCUAUCCAAAAGUAGAGAAAAACAAACAAACAACCUCCACCAAUGCAAUGGCAGAGCAAACCUAAGCAUGUAAAGUCUAGAAGUUAAUUAUAGUAUAGGCAGAUCCCUAUUUUUUUAUGUGCUGAAUGCAAAUAGUUUCCACAAGCUUCUAAUGUCAGGAAAUACUAGCAGGAAAGCAAUUAAAAUUUUAGAAAAAUGCAUGCAAAUAAGAAAUUUCUGUGCCAUUUGGGUGACAGAAUCUGGGGGAGGGCAAAGCCUGACACAAGUGAACAGUAGGAAGGUCACUCAGUGGAGGGGCAGUGGGGAGGAAGAUGAACUAUGUGUAUGGCAGGUCCACUGUAGGGUAGUCUGUGAACCUGUAGCUGGAUAGGCAUUCAGAAGACAAUCCCAAGGCUCAUGCUUGCUGUGUCUUCACCUUUAUCACCAAAGCAAUUGGCAUAUGUGACUUCAUGGCCACCGUCUAGCUGCUCUUCUUUGGGGAAGGGGAUGGGUGGAGGAAGCUCACUCUAGUUGAGGCUUUCCUGGAAUUCGGGCCAGUUCUCCAAAGGUGCCUGCCUGGGGGCUAGGCUUACAGUCAGGCAGGGAUUACAGGCAUGACACACAUAUUGAGCCUGGCUUGUGGCCAUUAAUUUGGACAAGAAGGUAAAAGGGGAUGCCUGAAGAACUUAAACUGGUUAAAGUCCUGUUUUGUACCUAGAUUAUCCAGGCCGAAUCCCAGAAGACCUUACAGAACAGCAAGGCUAAUUCAAAAGGAGCCUAAGGACCCCUUGAAGAUGGAGCUCACUCUCUGCAGUCAUUGUCCCCUCAGCAGUGGCAUCCAUGAAGGAAUUCUAGCUAACACUGUCUGGCUUGAGAUAAAGGAUCAGCCAUUAAGUCGUUGGAGGCCUCGUGACCAUUCCAGAUGUGUAAGCACUGACACCAAGUUCAGGCCAUGUAGAGAAGCUUAAUUGUGUGGUCUAUUUCUACUGUAUAAUGUGUCAUCCUACUAAACUUUGAGUAAAGUCCACUCCCAUGUUGUUUUUGAAUGGUUUUCUGUUUGUGUGCAUUUGGAGGGGGAUAGCACCGGGGAGUGAAUUCAGAGGGCCCUGUGGUUUCUAGGCAACUACUCCAUCAGUGGGCUAUAUAUCCUUUGCCCUUCUCCUUUUGUAAAUUUUGAGGUAAGGUCAAAUCGCCCAGGCUAGCCUUGAAUUUUUGGCCUCCCUCCCCCGACCCUGCCAUCUCCCAAGUACCUGGGACGAUUACAGACCAGGUGGUUCAGAUCUUUUAAGAGGAAAUGUAUUUCCUCUUGGCACCUUGGUUACCUCUGCCUCCUGUGGUGUGGAAUCGCUAGUCAGAACAUGGAGGUUGCCAAAACCACUUUUAAGAGUACCUGACUUAUGGCUGGAGAGAUGGCUCAGAGGUUAA
ensembl:lincRNA